rnacentral:rRNA from 1 species
ACAUAGGGGGCAAGCGUUGUCCGGAAUCACUGGGCGUAAAGGGCGCGUAGGCGGUCUGUUAAGUCGGAUGUGAAAUGUAAGGGCUCAACCCUUAACGUGCAUCCGAUACUGGCAGACUUGAGUGCGGAAGAGGCAAGUGGAAUUCCUAGUGUAGCGGUGAAAUGCGUAGAUAUUAGGAGGAACACCAGUGGCGAAGGCGACUUGCUGGGCCGUAACUGACGCUGAGGCGCGAAAGCGUGGGGAGCAAACAG